rnacentral:lncRNA from 1 species
UCUAUGAUUAUAAUAUAUGAGAAAAAGAAAACAAGAGGGCACUACAGAAUUUUAAAGUAAAGUACACACACACACACGCACACACACACACAGUCUUUGUAAAGUCCAUAGCUAAAACAAAGAUGGGACACAAUAAAAGGGCUCAUGUUCCCUUGUGUGGGCAUCAAAUGUUUCUAAAAACGACUUAAGAGAUGCCUGCUAUUAAAGCAAAACAGGAGGAUAUAUACUUUAGCCAUGAAAUUAGCGCAUAAUGUUAUCUAGCCAGUUGAACUUGCAUUGCUUUAGGGAAAUAUUAGCACACGUUUUCCACAAGUGGAUGUAGGCAGGAAAGAUUUAUAUUAGACAUCAGGAAUAAUGUCCUGACUUUCAGAAGAGUUGUGAGAAGCCAAAUAGUUUACCAAAGAAGGCUGUGGAAUUUACCUCCUGGAAAUUUUUAGCAGCAGACAUGAGACCCAUAUGUUUGAGACUAUUUCGGAGUCUUUGAAAUGAAUAGAAUGGUCUUAUUAAGAGUUUCCUAGUCCUUUUCUUUUGUAGCUUGCCUGAGAAGAGGUUAGACAUUCAGUCCACAAAGCCAGGCUUCUCUCCGACCUUCCCCUAUACAUUUCCGAAGACAGAGAAGAGGAAAAAGGAGGUAGAGUCUGGUAUGAGGGCACCAGGGAACAUUUCCUUACUUCACAAUUUGGUGAACUGAGUAGAACUGCCUGACAUCACACAGAGGGUAAACUUCUGCCUAGGGCCAUGGAAAAAGGCAAGAAGGUCCCGUGACCAAGAAAUGACCAGCUCCACAGAGGAAAUGCAGGGCCACUCUCCGACUGGACCCCACUGUGCACAAGCCUGCUCAAUGUGAAGAUGACGAGGAUGAAAACCUUUAUGAUGAUCUACUCCUAUUUAUGUGGACUUGCUCUGGAUUAGGGAUGAGAAGACCUGACUCUACUGUUUUCUUGAUAAGUGACCUUGAACCAGACACAUGUGCUCAAGUUCCAUAUCUGUAAAAUGAAGAUACCUGGCCUUCCUACUUCACAAGGUUCUUUUGAAGAUCAAAUGUAAUACUGCAUAAUAAAGUGACUCAUAAAUUC